AUUGAACGCUGGCGGCAGGCUUAACACAUGCAAGUCGGGCGGGGAAGGGUAGCUUGCUACCUAACCUAGCGGCGGACGGGUGAGUAAUGCUUAGGAAUCUGCCAUUUAGUGGGGGACAACAUUCCGAAAGGAAUGCUAAUACCGCAUACGUCCUACGGGAGAAAGCAGGGGAUCUUCGGACCUUGCGCUAAAUGAUGAGCCUAAGUCGGAUUAGCUAGUUGGUGGGGUAAAGGCCUACCAAGGCGACGAUCUGUAGCGGGUCUGAGAGGAUGGUCCGCCACACUGGGACUGAGACACGGCCCAGACUCCUACGGGAGGCAGCAGUGGGGAAUAUUGGACAAUGGGCGGAAGCCUGAUCCAGCCAUGCCGCGUGUGUGAAGAAGGCCUUAUGGUUGUAAAGCACUUUAAGCGAGGAGGAGGCUACUUAGAUUAAUACUCUAGGAUAGUGGACGUUACUCGCAGAAUAAGCACCGGCUAACUCUGUGCCAGCAGCCGCAGUAA
rnacentral:rRNA from 1 species